rnacentral:tRNA from 1 species
AGAAAAGUAAGCUAAUUUUAAGCUAAUGGGUUCAUACCCCAUCUAUGGAACUAUAUUUCCCUUUUCUA